rnacentral:rRNA from 1 species
GUGAGGAAUAUUGGACAAUGGGCGCAAGCCUGAUCCAGCCAUGCCGCGUGCAGGAAGACGCAUCUAUGGUGUGUAAACUGCUUUUGUGCGGGAAGAAACACUCCCUCGUGAGGGAGCUUGACGGUACCGUAAGAAUAAGGAUCGGCUAACUCCGUGCCAGCAGCCGCGGUAAUACGGAGGAUCCAAGCGUUAUCCGGAAUCAUUGGGUUUAAAGGGUCCGUAGGCGGUUUAAUAAGUCAGUGGUGAAAGCCCAUCGCUCAACGAUGGAACGGCCAUUGAUACUGUUAGACUUGAAUUACAAGGAAGUAACUAGAAUAUGUAGUGUAGCGGUGAAAUGCUUAGAUAUUACAUGGAAUACCAAUUGCGAAGGCAGGUUACUACUUGUGGAUUGACGCUGAUGGACGAAAGCGUGGGGAGCGAACAGGAUUAGAAACCCCGGUAGUCC